AAAAAAAAAAAAAAAAUGUGUUGCUACAUUAGGAGGUCCAUCUAACUAGUAGACAUGGAUAAUUAUUUAGAGCCCUAAAAGACGAUGGAAAGGCCAUCUUUGAUCCGUUUGAGCCUUUCUAGCCAUCCCUUUUAUUAAAUAUCCAUAGUUACCCCUUUUGAGCCUUUAAAAAAAAAAAAAAAAAGAACAAAAACCUUUUCUUUGUCAACUUAUCAUCUUGACCCACUCCGAUUUGGAGUAUUACCCAAUGUCUUUUAAGUUCCAUCACCUAUUUAUGUUUGAGAAAAUGUACAUAUUUAUGUUGUUCAGUGAAGUUAUACCAAAAAAAAAAAAAACAACAAAACAAAAGUUGUUGUUUCAAAAGAAUAAAAAUAACAAAAAUAGGUGAAAUCCACCUUGCAAGUUCCAAAAAAAAAAAAAAAAAAUUCUGCAUUUUUCUCAAACAUACACUUUAUUUUCCUUAUUUCCUUUCUUUGUUAGCCAUAUCCCUAGCCUACGUUAC
rnacentral:lncRNA from 1 species